UCUUAAUGACUUUGAUCAAACUUUGACUAAUCCAAAAUUUGACUAAUCCAAGAAUUUCUUAAUCAAAUCCUAAAUCAAAUUUUAAUAAAACCUUAAUGAAAUUCUAAAUCUUAGACAAAACUUAAAAAAGUUCUAAACCAAAUUCUAAGCAAAUCUUAGACCAAAUCCAAAAUCAGAUUCUAAUCAAAUCCUAAAUCUUAAAUAAAUUCUUAACAAAUCCUAUAGCAAAUGAAAUGUCGACAACUAAUAAUCAAAAUAUUGAUAUCAAUUCAAAAUUUUCAUACUUUUUAAUAUCUUAGUUAAAAAUAAGUACAAGAAAGAUGAAAUCAAUUGCACUUAUAAAUUGAGAGAAAUAUAAGAUAAUCUAAUAAGGUGUUAGGUAGCUUCCUAUUCCAAUAUAAAUAUUGAACUUCUAGAGCUAAUAUCUCCUUUUUUAAUCAUUAAAUUUCUCUCAAAUUUUACCUAAAAUGUUAAAAAUUGAAUCUUAUAUCCAUAUCAAAAUA
rnacentral:lncRNA from 1 species